rnacentral:misc_RNA from 1 species
GCGGAGGAAAAGAAACCAACAGGGAUUGCCCCAGUAACGGCGAGUGAAGCGGCAAAAGCUCAAAUUUGAAAUCUGGCUCCUUUCGGGGUCCGAGUUGUAAUUUGAAGAGGAUGCUUUGGGUGCGUCCGCGGCGUAAGUCCCUUGGAACAGGGCGUCAUAGAGGGUGAGAAUCCCGUCUUGAGUCGCCGGCGCGCGCCCGUUUAAAGCUCCUUCGACGAGUCGAGUUGUUUGGGAAUGCAGCUCUAAGUGGGUGGUAGAUUUCAUCUAAAGCUAAAUAUUGGCCGGAGACCGAUAGCGAACAAGUAGAGUGAUCGAAAGGUUAAAAGCACCUUGAAAAGGGAGUUAAAUAGCACGUGAAAUUGUUGAAAGGGAAGCGCUUGCAGCCAGACUCGGGUUCGGAGGCUCAGCGGGUAUUGUUAUGCCCGUGCACUCCUCCGCACCCGGGCCAGCAUCAGUUUUGGCGGCCGGUCAAAGGCCCCCGGAAUGUGUCGUCCUCCGGGACGUCUUAUAGCCGGGGGUGCAAUGCGGCCAGCCGGGACUGAGGAACGCGCUUCGGCACGGAUGCUGGCGUAAUGGCUGUAAGCGGCCCGUCUUGAAACACGGACCAAGGAGUCUAACAUCCACGCGAGUGUUCGGGUGUCAAACCCGUACGCGCAGUGAAAGCGAACGGAGGUGAGAGCCCCUUCGGGGGCGCAUCAUCGACCGAUCCUGAAGUCUUCGGAUGGAUUUGAGUAAGAGCGUGGCUGUUGGGACCCGAAAGAUGGUGAACUAUGCCUGAAUAGGGUGAAGCCAGGAGAAAUUCUGGUGGAGGCUCGCAGCGGUUCUGACGUGCAAAUCGAUCGUCAAAUUUGGGUAUAGGGGCGAAAGACUAUUC